GGGUUUUGAAGCCUGUGGACUUUUCUUUUCUCCCUCAUUCAACAGCCUGAUCAUGAAGCAGGAAAGAAAGGAAAAUGUGUGCCACGCCUGACUGGUUUUUGUGUUUUUUUGGUGGAGACGGGGUUUCGCUGUGUUGGCCGGGCUGGUCUCCAGCUCCUAACUGCGAGUGGUCCGCCGGCCUCGGCCUCCAGUGGUGCCGGGAUUGCGGACGGAGUCUGGUUCACUUGGUGCUCGGUGGUGCCCAGGCUGGAGUGCAGUGGCGUGGUCUCGGCUCACUGCGGCCUCCACCUCCCAGCCGCCUGCCUUGGCCUCCCGGGGUGCCGAGAUUGCAGCCUCUGCCUGGCCGCCACCCCAUCUGGGAAGUGGGGAGCGUCUCUGCCUGGCCGCCCAUCGUCUGGGACGUGGGGAGCCCCUCUGCCUGGCUGCCCAGUCUGGAGGGUGAGGAGCGUCUCUGCCAGGCCGCCAUCCCAUCUAGGAAGUGAGGAGCGCCUCUUCCCAGCCGCCAUCCCCUCUGGGAGCCUCACAAUCAAGGACAAAUUCCUGAAUGCAACAUUUGCUUUUCCGUCUUCCCGCUUCACCUCACUCAUCCCUGCAGAAGUACAAGUAUUCCUGGCUUCUUCAAGUCUACGCCUAAGAAUUAAGAGCCUUGGGGAGAAGGGCACUGCAUCGACCACUGCAUCUCAAUCAUUGUGGCAGACGUACCACAGCACUGGGAAGCUGGCCUUGGCAAGAAUCUCAGGCUAUUACUACAGAGUUGGGAAGAAGGUUUAGGAUCAAGAUAGAGGUGACUGACCAAGCAGCAGAAAUGGAGUAAGACAUCUGACAUCCUGGCCCCAAUAUCUUUCUCAUCAUUCCAGUCUGCUCUGAGAAACUCUCUCUCCUAGUCUGGUGGUACAAACUCCUGGGAUCCAAGCACGCUGUGUCAUGCUGCUGUACUGUUCAGUACAGAAGCCACUAACCACGUGUGCCUACCAGGCAGUUGAGAUGUGGCUGGUUCAAACUGAGAUAUACUAUAAAUAUAAAAUACCACAGGAUUUUGAAGACUUACG
rnacentral:lncRNA from 1 species